rnacentral:lncRNA from 10 species
UGAAGGACGCAGGGCUCUUCCACAGCAGGGGUCGCAGAAUGAUCUUCAACCCAAGACACAGGCAAAGAGAGCAUCUAACUGCUUAAAAUGAGAGCAGGAAUGGCUGUUGGCUUAGAUAGAUGGCACCCCAGAGUCCUGAAAGAACUUGCAGAUGUGAUCACAGGACCAUCUGAACCGGAGAAACCGGGGGGAAUGGAGAGACAGCAAAAGACCGGAGAUGGGUAAAUGAGUUCCAGAUUUUCCAACACAACAGGAAAGGUGACUUACGGGUCUGUGUGCUGGUUACAUUUAAUGUUGAGCUUCAGCAAAACUCCGGAACAGAUGAUUGAAGGGGCUUUGUGCGUAUUUAUUAAAGAAAGUAAUGAUUGCUAGGCACUCUCAUGAGUUCCCCGAAAUCUGAGCUCGUGCCAGACAACCUUGUUUCCAUGCCAUAGCA